CCAUGCGAUCGCUAACAGUCAGACAUGCCUGAGUGACUAACACUGUUCCAGACCUGUUUGAGCAUUAACUCAUCAAACUUCUUUCCUCAUUGGGACAAUGAGACAUGUACUGUUACUGUUCAUGUGUUCGGUUGAGCGGCUGAGGCAGGAAGAGGUCUACGGCAGGUGUAUAGAGGAGAAAUGUGGAGCAGAUGCAGACACAGGGAGAACUCUUUGUGAAGAUGAAGGCAGAGAUCAGGGUGAGGUUUCUACACACCAAGGAACUCCAGUGAUCACCAGCAGACCACCAGAAGCUGAGGAAGAGACGUGGGAGCAAUCUUCUCUGCACAGCCAGAAGGAACCAACCUUGCUGAUACCUUGGUCUUAGACAUCUGGCCUCCAGAACCAUGAC
ensembl:lncRNA